GCCCGAUGAACCUGAAUAUCCAUUAUGGAAAAUUCAUCAUUAGAAUUGUAAUAUUUAAACAAUAUUAUAAUAAUAGUGUGCAUUUUUUCCAUAUAAGGACAUUGUAAUCUAUUAGCAUAUUAAUUUAUCAUAAAAUUAUGGCAUAUUGUUUAUUUCAAUUAAAAUGCUUGCGUUUUAACAUGAAAUAAAAGUUGUAAAUUUGAUAAAGUGCUGAUAGAUUUAUAAGAAUACAGUGCGUUAAUUUUUCGGAAUUAUAUAAUGGCAUGAUUAUCAUUGAUUUUUAUGUUUAUUAUAUGCACUUGUAUGAUUAACAAUGCGAAAGAUUCAGGAUACUUCGGG
rnacentral:rRNA from 1 species